rnacentral:rRNA from 1 species
AACGCUGGCGGCAGGCCUAACACAUGCAAGUCGAGCGGUAGCACAGAGAGCUUGCUCUCGGGUGACGAGCGGCGGACGGGUGAGUAAUGUCUGGGAAACUGCCUGAUGGAGGGGGAUAACUACUGGAAACGGUAGCUAAUACCGCAUAAUGUCGCAAGACCAAAGUGGGGGACCUUCGGGCCUCAUGCCAUCAGAUGUGCCCAGAUGGGAUUAGCUAGUAGGUGGGGUAACGGCUCACCUAGGCGACGAUCCCUAGCUGGUCUGAGAGGAUGACCAGCCACACUGGAACUGAGACACGGUCCAGACUCCUACGGGAGGCAGCAGUGGGGAAUAUUGCACAAUGGGCGCAAGCCUGAUGCAGCCAUGCCGCGUGUGUGAAGAGAGGCCUUCGGGUUGUAAAGCACUUUCAGCGGGGAGGAAGGCGUUAAGGUUAAUAACCUUGUCGAUUGACGUUACCCGCAGAAGAAGCACCGGCUAACUCCGUGCCAGCAGCCGCGGUAAUACGGAGGGUGCAAGCGUUAAUCGGAAUUACUGGGCGUAAAGCGCACGCAGGCGGUCUGUCAAGUCGGAUGUGAAAUCCCCGGGCUCAACCUGGGAACUGCAUUCGAAACUGGCAGGCUAGAGUCUUGUAGAGGGGGGGUAGAAUUCCAGGUGUAGCGGUGAAAUGCGUAGAGAUCUGGAGGAAUACCGGUGGCGAAGGCGGCCCCCUGGACAAAGACUGACGCUCAGGUGCGAAAGCGUGGGGAGCAAACAGGAUUAGAUACCCUGGUAGUCCACGCCGUAAACGAUGUGGAUUUGGAGGUUGUGCCCUUGAGGCGUGGCUUCCGGAGCUAACGCGUUAAAUCGACCCGCAUGGGGAGUACGGCCGCAAGGUUAAAACUCAAAUGAAUUGACGGGGGCCCGCACAAGCGGUGGAGCAUGUGGUUUAAUUCGAUGCAACGCGAAGAACCUUACCUGGUCUUGACAUCCACAGAACUUUCCAGAGAUGGUUUGGUGCCUUCGGGAACUGUGAGACAGGUGCUGCAUGGCUGUCGUCAGCUCGUGUUGUGAAAUGUUGGGUUAAGUCCCGCAACGAGCGCAACCCUUAUCCUUUGUUGCCAGCGGUUAGGCCGGGAACUCAAAGGAGACUGCCAGUGAUAAACUGGAGGAAGGUGGGGAUGACGUCAAGUCAUCAUGGCCCUUACGACCAGGGCUACACACGUGCUACAAUGGCAUAUACAAAGAGAAGCGACCUCGCGAGAGCAAGCGGACCUCAUAAAGUAUGUCGUAGUCCGGAUUGGAGUCUGCAACUCGACUCCAUGAAGUCGGAAUCGCUAGUAAUCGUAGAUCAGAAUGCUACGGUGAAUACGUUCCCGGGCCUUGUACACACCGCCCGUCACACCAUGGGAGUGGGUUGCAAAAGAAGUAGGUAGCUUAACCUUCGGGAGGG